rnacentral:rRNA from 1 species
GGAAACUUGUGCUAAUACCGGAUAAGUCUUUACGGAGAAAGCUUUAUGCACCAUUGGAUGAGCCUGCACUUGAUUAGUUUGUUGGUGGGGUAAUGGCCUACCAAGACUGUGAUCAAUAGCUGAUUUGAGAGGAUGAUCAGCCACAUUGGGACUGAGACACGGCCAAAACUCCUACGGGAGGCAGCAGUGGGGAAUCUUGCGCAAUGAGCGAAAG